CUACGGGGCGCUGCAGUGAGGAAUAUUGCACAAUGGGGGGAACCCUGAUGCAGCAACGCCGCGUGGAGGAUGACGCAUUUCGGUGUGUAAACUCCUUUAUAUGUCAAGAAAAUGACGGUAGCAUAUGAAUAAGCACCGGCUAACUCCGUGCCAGCAGCCGCAGUAAUACGGAGGGUGCAAGCGUUACUCGGAAUCACUGGGCGUAAAGGACGCGUAGGCGGGUUGGAAAGUCAGGUGUGAAAUCCUACAGCUUAACUGUAGAACUGCACUUGAAACUUCUAAUCUAGAGUAUGGGAGGGGGAGAUGGAAUUAGUGGUGUAGGGGUAAAAUCCGUAGAUAUCACUAGGAAUACCUAAAGCGAAGGCGAUCUCCUGGAACAUUACUGACGCUAAGGCGUGAAAGCGUGGGGAGCAAACAGGAUUAGAUACCCCAGUAGUC
rnacentral:rRNA from 1 species